UACAGAGGUCCCAAGCGUUGUUCGGAUUCAUUGGGCGUAAAGGGUGCGUAGGCGGCGCGGUAAGUCGGGUGUGAAAUCUCGGGGCUUAACUCCGAAACUGCAUUCGAUACUGCCGUGCUUGAGGACUGGAGAGGAGACUGGAAUUUACGGUGUAGCGGUGAAAUGCGUAGAGAUCCGGAGGAACACCGCAGGCGAAGGCAGUGUCCUGGCGCGUACCUGACGCUGAGGUGCGAAAGCUAGGGGAGCGAACGGG
rnacentral:rRNA from 1 species